rnacentral:rRNA from 1 species
AGCGAACGCUGGCGGCAGGCCUAACACAUGCAAGUCGAACGAACCUUUCGGGGUUAGUGGCGGACGGGUGAGUAACACGUGGGAACGUGCCUUUAGGUUCGGAAUAACUCAGUGAAACUUGUGCUAAUACCGAAUGUGCCCUUCUGGGGAAAGAUUUAUCGCCUUUAGAGCGGCCCGCGUCUUAUUAGCUAGUUGGUUGAGGUAAUGGCUCACCAAGGCGACGAUCAGUAGCUGGUCUGAGAGGAUGAUCAGCCACAUUGGGACUGAGACACGGCCCAAACUCCUACGGGAGGCAGCAGUGGGGAAUCUUGCGCAAUGGGCGAAAGACUGACGCAGCCAUGCCGCGUGAAUGAUGAAGGUCUUAGGAUUGUAAAAUUCUUUCACCGGGGACGAUAAUGACGGUACCCGGAGAAGAAGCCCCGGCUAACUUCG